UGUCUAUUUCAGGUUUAAGUACAUGUUGAACAGCCUUCUCCAUAAAGCGGAUAUUCUGAAGACAGCGAUGACGUGAAAGUUCAAGAUUUGCCUAUUGUGAGCAUUCAGAUACCUCGGUAAUACAGAAUGGGUCAAAAAACGCACAAAGGUUAAUCACAUCAUGCUGCAUUACACUGUAACAGAACAAUUUAUCUGAUGCAAGCAUCAAUCAUGAAAAUAAGAAAGGAGGUUAGGUCCAAAGAGAAGGCAAUGUAAGAAAUGAUUGCUGAAUUCCUGAGGAUUGGGAUGAAUCUUUUCUAUUCUUACUAACUGUCCAAACAUCAUUUGAGGAUCCCUUCCU